ACCACACCGCCAUGUGAGAAGAAACCAGACAAGACACGACAACACUUUACUAGAACAAUCAACAGGUCCAACAAGAUGAAAACUGUUGUUGUGGUCAUCACAGUUUUGUUCAUUAUGGUCUUUCUUCUGUUUGAAAGAGGAGACUCAAUUGUUUCAUGGUGUAAAUACGGAUGGGAAGACUGUCGACCUCAGGACUGCGACCCGGUGUUUCGCCCAUGGAGUUGUGGUAUAGUCUCUAAGUGAUGAUUUAAUCUGACACAUCAACUCUGCCCUAUCCUACCAUUCAAUGAUGUCAAUUCUGGAGGAUGGAAUAUUUUUGGAAUGAUGCUUUAACGUAAAUAACACUUAUUCUAGGUUUAUAUGGUUAACUUGGUAAUAAAGCAUUUUUUUCAAAAUUCAAAAUCAA